CAAAAAACACCGUACGGUUUCUUCACGGAUCACUGAAUGUGGGCGGAUUUGUAUAUAGUGUAUAUGUAAUGUGCACAUUUUGUUUUCAUUUUCAUAAUCUUUAACCUUUCUAAAUAAAUUUAAAAAGUUCAAAUGUUUGAAUAAAAGCAUACAGUCAUACUUUAUAUUGAUAAGAGACGAAGUACAUGACUUAUCGGACAGGAUCUAACAUAUACUUCAAUUGUCAUCAUUUAUAAGAUUUUUCUGAUGAACACUCUCAGAAACAAAAUGGACUUUUAUUCCCUGAAACAUUUUUAUAAGUUAAGCUUAAUUAAGAGUAGAUACUGUAAUAGAGUGAUCUUUGGGUUAAUGAAUAAAUUUUGCUAUAGAUAUAUGCUUCAAUGUAUUUUACUUUAGAAAACCCUAGAUCCACUCCUUUAUUUCUCUAGCCCUUACAUGUACAUAUAUAGGUGAACACAUUUAAUAGUCAUUACCUUAAGGCAUAUGUUAAAGGUCUUGUAGUGUUCUUGAACUUCAUUGGUUGUGUUUUGUGAAGUUGCUUUUGGUUGGUUUUUAUUGUUUUGGUCAUUGGGUUUUACCGCCAAAAUUGAGCAUUCUUUGUCUAGUUUUGAGAGAGGACAGACUUCAUAUCGACAACAUUGACUAAGACCUUCUAUAAAGACUUUUCCGAGUCCAUGUACAUAUCCACAUAGAUAUAUAUACCCUGUACUUGUAUGUGGAAGCCUCUUCCCAUAGAAUGGUAAAUAUAUGAUUUAAGUUUUAAUGAUAAUGUAUUCUUAUGACUAUGAGAGAAAUCUGUUCAUACCAGUAUAUGUAACUUUAAGAGUUGUCUCCCUUUAUUGUGAUUUUGAUACAAGUAAUACAUUUAUCUUGAUGGAAAUUACAUUCAUUAAUCAUAUAAGUAAUAUUGUCAAUUAUUAAUUAAUGCACUCUGUGAUAUCAUAUUAUUGUUAUUUUACCUGUAUUGCAGGGCUGUAAAAAUAUGUGCAUAUGAGAUAUCCUUCACUGUGAUAUUAAAUUCCCUGAACCCAUACAGGAGUUGCUUAUUAUGAAACUACAAACCUGUUACAAUACAUUUAUUUUAAUAAAGGAAUUCUGACAUU